UACGUAGGGCGCAAGCGUUGUCCGGAAUUAUUGGGCGUAAAGAGCUCGUAGGCGGCUUGUCGCGUCGGCUGUGAAAACCCGCGGCUCAACUGUGGGCGGGCAGCUGAUACGGGCAGGCUGGAGUUCGGUAGGGGAGACUGGAAUUCCUGGUGUAGCGGUGAAAUGACGCAGAUAUCAGGAGGAACACCGGUGGCGAAGGCGGGUCUCUGGGCAGUAACUGACGCUGAGGAGCGAAAGCGUGGGGAGCGAACAGG
rnacentral:rRNA from 1 species